GAAGUUGUAGCUCAGUGGUGGUAGAGUGUGUGCUUAACAUGCAUGGAGACUCUGGGUUCAAUCCCCAGCUCCA
rnacentral:tRNA from 1 species